rnacentral:rRNA from 1 species
AGUGAACGCUGGCGGUAGGCCUAACACAUGCAAGUCGAACGGCAGCACAGUAAGAGCUUGCUCUUACGGGUGGCGAGUGGCGGACGGGUGAGGAAUACAUCGGAAUCUACUUUUUCGUGGGGGAUAACGUAGGGAAACUUACGCUAAUACCGCAUACGACCUACGGGUGAAAGCAGGGGAUCUUCGGACCUUGCGCGAUUGAAUGAGCCGAUGUCGGAUUAGCUAGUUGGCGGGGUAAAGGCCCACCAAGGCGACGAUCCGUAGCUGGUCUGAGAGGAUGAACAGCCACACUGUAGCGUAGACACAGUCGCGACCCCUAGGGGAGGCAGCAGGGGGGACUCUUGGGGAAUGGGGGCGAGCGUGAUCUAGCACUACCGGGGAGGUGAAGAAGGCCUUCGGGUUCUAAAGCGCUUUUGUUGGGAGGGAAAAGAAGCAGGUUUAUACGCCGCGGUACUGACGGUACCGAAAGAAUAAGCACCGGCUAACUUCGUG